GACGAACGCUGGCGGCGUGCUUAACACAUGCAAGUCGAACGGAAAGGCCCUGCUUUUGUGGGGUGCUCGAGUGGCGAACGGGUGAGUAACACGUGAGUAACCUGCCCUUGACUUUGGGAUAACUUCAGGAAACUGGGGCUAAUACCGGAUAGGAGCUCCUGCUGCAUGGUGGGGGUUGGAAAGUUUCGGCGGUUGGGGAUGGACUCGCGGCUUAUCAGCUUGUUGGUGGGGUAGUGGCUUACCAAGGCUUUGACGGGUAGCCGGCCUGAGAGGGUGACCGGCCACAUUGGGACUGAGAUACGGCCCAGACGCCUACGGGAGGCAGCAGUGGGGAAUAUUGCACAAUGGGCGGAAGCCUGAUGCAGCAACGCCGCGUGCGGGAUGCAGGCCUUCGGGUUGUAAACCGCUUUCGCCUGUGACGAAGCGUGAGUGACGGUAAUGGGUAAAGAAGCACCGGCUAACUACGUG
rnacentral:rRNA from 1 species